AGUGAACGCUGGCGGUAGGCCUAACACAUGCAAGUCGAACGGCCGCACAGUAAGAGCUUGCUCUUACGGGUGGCGAGUGGCGGACGGGUGAGGCAUACAUCGGAAUCUACUUUUUCGUGGGGGAUAACGUAGGGAAACUGCUGCUAAUACCGCAUACGACCUACGGCUGAAAGCAGGGGAUCUUCGCACUUUGCGCGAUUGAAUGAGCCGAUGUCGGAUUAGCUAGUUGGGAGGGUAAAGGCACACCAAGGCGACGAUACGUAGCUGAUCUGAGAGGAUGAUCAGCCACACUGGAACUGAGACACGAUCCAGACUCCUACGGGAGGCAGCAGUGGGGAAUAUUGGACAAUGGGCGCAAGCCUGAUCCAGCCAUACCGCGUGGGUGAAGAAGGCCUUCGGGUUGUAAAGCUCUUUUGUUGGGAAAGAAAAGCAGCAGGUUAAUACCCCGAUGUUCUGACGGUACCCAAAGAAUAAGCACCGGCUAACUUCGUG
rnacentral:rRNA from 1 species